rnacentral:snoRNA from 1 species
UAUUGCAGUGAACACCCAACUGUGCUUUAUCGUUCCCUUGGCUUUGACCCUGUGCUAGAGCAAUGCCUGUUCUUCUCCUCUGCACUGAAAGGAGUAUUUAUCCUUUCAAGUGUAUUCACAAAGCCAGUACAUUA